rnacentral:rRNA from 1 species
AUUGAACGCUGGCGGCAUGCUUUACACAUGCAAGUCGAACGGUAACAGGCCUUCGGGUGCUGACGAGUGGCGGACGGGUGAGUAAUGCAUCGGAACGUGCCCAGAGGUGGGGGAUAACGCAGCGAAAGCUGUGCUAAUACCGCAUGUGAUCUGAGGAUGAAAGCGGGGGACCAAGCAGCAAUGUUUGGCCUCGCGCGUCUGGAGCGGCCGCUGUCGGAUUAGGUAGUUGGUGGGGUAAAGGCCUACCAAGCCGACGAUCUGUAGCUGGUCUGAGAGGACGACCGGCCACACUGGAACUGAGACACGGCCCAGACUCCUACGGGAGGCAGCAGUGGGGAAUUUUGGACAAUGGGCGCAAGCCUGAUCCAGCAAUGCCGCGUGCGGGAAGAAGGCCUUCGGGUUGUAAACCGCUUUUGUACGGAACGAAAAGGUUCUGGCUAAUACCUGGGGCUGAUGACGGUACCGUAAGAAUAAGCACCGGCUAACUACGUG